rnacentral:rRNA from 1 species
GACGAACGCUGGCGGCGUGCCUAACACAUGCAAGUCGAACGGGGCACCUUCGGGUGCUUAGUGGCGGACGGGUGAGUAACGCGUGGGUAACCUGCCGUAUGCUGGGGGACAACAGUUGGAAACGACUGCUAAUACCGCAUAAGCGCACAGUAUCGCAUGAUACCGUGUGAAAAGCCGAGACGGUAUAAGAUGGACCCGCGUCUGAUUAGCUAGUUGGUGGGGUAACGGCCCACCAAGGCGACGAUCAGUAGCCGACCUGAGAGGGUGACCGGCCACAUUGGGACUGAGACACGGCCCAAACUCCUACGGGAGGCAGCAGUGGGGAAUAUUGCACAAUGGGGGAAACCCUGAUGCAGCGACGCCGCGUGAGUGAAGAAGUAUUUCGGUAUGUAAAGCUCUAUCAGCAGGGAAGAAAAUGACGGUACCUGACUAAGAAGCCCCGGCUAACUACGUG